rnacentral:tRNA from 2 species
GCCGGUGUAGCUCAGGGGUAGAGCAGACGUUUCAUAAGCGUCGGGUCGCAGGUUCGAAUCCUGCCACCGGUA